rnacentral:lncRNA from 1 species
CGAAAACUUCAAAAUCAAGUGGUUUGUUAGAAACUUUGCAGAUAUCAUUAGAAGAUCUACAAAGAAACAUUGAUAAUGUAGUAAAAGAUCGGCAAUCUAAUCUGAUCAAAAUUAAAGAACAACGACAAAACAUUAUCGCUGGCAUUCAAAACCUACGCAAAAGAAACAACUCACAUUUUGAUAAACUCGAACAAGAGAUAGAGAAAGAGUUGAACGCAUCUGAGUGUGCUUUAAACAGGAAAAUUGAGGAUCUGUUGCAUGGACUUAAGGAGAAACGAGAAAGAAUUGCAGUGUUACAAAGUAACAUUACAGAUCUUAAGAAUCACGCAUCAGACUUACAAACUUUCAUAGGAAGCAAACAGCUGGAGGAGAAAAUCGAAGCAGAAGAGACAUACGUUCAGUCAUUAUCGGAAGAUGACCGUUUGAAACAGCUUUCCUUGAAAUGUACUCAUAAUGACGGGAUUUUUAAUUUACUCCAAAGCAUAACGUCAUUUGGGUCAAUAUCGAUAGAAUCACCAUCUGUUGUUGUUAAAUUGGAGAAGACUAAACAAGCUCAGAUAUUGUCUGCUAGUUUUAUUUCAAAAUCAGUCGACAAUGUCCGUGCAACAUUAUUGCGAACAAUUCAGAUUACGAAAGGGA